GAGCGGACUGAUGUACUGGCCCUUAGUACAGGUGAGUUCCGCCUGCUCAGUAAUAUGAACUCAGGGCUUUGGUUUCCAUGUGGCCCUAAUGGACUCACUCUCCCUGUUCCAGCUAACCAACUUCAGCCUUGUUCCUGUUCAAUGGAGAACAGCUUACGCUGGAGUCUGUGGUUUUCUCUGGGCCACCUUCAUCUGUUUUUCCCAGCAGAGCGGUGACGGCACAUUCAAGUCAGCUUUCACCAUUUUAUAUACAAAGGGGACCAGUGCCACAGAAGGGUCCCCGGAGAAAUGA
rnacentral:lncRNA from 1 species